AGUUUUGUACAGUGGCAGUAUCGUAGCCAGUGAGGUUUAUUUGAGGUGCGAUUAUUGCUAAUUGAAGAAAAAAAACCCCACAAAAAAAACACGCACAACCAGAACUCUUUUUUUUUUUUUUUUGAUUUUUUAAAAUACUUUUUU
rfam:Myotis davidii contig166360, whole genome shotgun sequence.